rnacentral:lncRNA from 1 species
UCUUUGAGGAGUUCGUAGUUGGUCUACUGAAAGGCAAAGUUUCUGCUCCUAUCCAAUAAUCUCUCAUUUUCCAAUGCAUGGCAUUUUCAAAUUUCCAGACCUUCGUCCUGUACAACACCUAUUACAGGACUAAGCUCUCUGUUGUGUUUAUUGUAAAUAAUAAAUUUGUUGUUUUUUUUUGUUCUAAACUUGCAUAAAUAUUUUACACUGGAUGUUUAAAAAUCAAUCUAUCAACUAGCUUCCAGUAGUUUUGAGUACUCUCAGAUCUACGU